UACGGAGGGUGCAAUCGUUAUCCGGAAUUACUGGGUUUAAAGGGUGCGUAGGCGGCUUGAUAAGUCAGGGGUGGAAGCCUAUCGAUUAACGAUAGAAUUGCCUUUGAUACUGUAAAGCUUGAAAGGGGUUGAGGUCAGCAGAAUGUGGCAUGUAGCGGUGAAAUGCAUAGAUAUGCCAUAGAACACCGAUUGCGAAGGCAGCUGGCUCGGCCUACUUUGACGCUGAGGCACGAAAGCGUGGGGAGCGUGCAGG
rnacentral:rRNA from 1 species